rnacentral:lncRNA from 1 species
ACAAAUUAAAAAUCAAUUUGAACUAUUUAGAACAAGAGCAGCUGGCUAAAGCCGCUCCCGGAGGCAUAGAAAAACUUCUUCAUAAAAUAAAACUGAAAGUGGAAAAACAGCAAUCUGUACGGGAAAAAAGCAGUGAAAGCAGUGAAAAAAAUUACUUUUUGGAAGGUAUUUCGAGUGAUGAAUCUCCGGAAGCCAUUAAUUAACCAGAACACGCUUACUACAACAAAGAAACAUUUACAAAUUACUUCAGUAGAUUUAAUAAAAAUACUUAGAAGCAUUUAGAAUGAGGAAAAUCGGAAAUAAAACUUUCAUGAUUAAUUAAAAUUGUUCGUACCUAUUUUGAGGCGUCUUUGAUGUUAAAAUUAAGACAGGAUCAAAAACAUCAAACAAAAGCUAAUGCCAGUUGACAUGUGCAACAAAAUGGAAGCCGAUAUAAUGGAGAAGAAUGAUCAGUUGUUAAAACUACAGCAAAAGGUAGAUCAUUUAGAAAAUAUGUUAAUAAUAAAAGACGAACGAAUAAAUGAUUUAACUCGGCAACUUCAAGCAAUGGCAAAUGGAGAUGGAGACAAAACCACAUCACCCAGAACAAGAUUUUUCAAUAAAAUAUUCUAAUGUUUAUAAAUAAAAUGCAGAUCCAUAAUAAACAUGAGUUUUCACUAGAUGGUAAAGUAUUUUGGAAAGGCAACAAAAUCAGCUUAACAAUGAAAAUAAAACUACAUUAAAGUGAUAAGCGUUAAGUAAUAAACGUCGGUAACUUUCUUACUUAAAAUUUCACAAAUACUUAUUCGUAAGCUGUAUAUUU